rnacentral:rRNA from 1 species
AGCAGUCGCCGCGGUAACACGUAGGGUGCAAGCGUUAAUCGGAAUUACUGGGCGUAAAGCGUGCGCAGGCGGUUAUAUAAGACAGAUGUGAAAUCCCCGGGCUCAACCUGGGAACUGCAUUUGUGACUGUAUAGCUAGAGUACGGCAGAGGGGGAUGGAAUUCCGCGUGUAGCAGUGAAAUGCGUAGAUAUGCGGAGGAACACCGAUGGCGAAGGCAAUCCCCUGGGCCUGUACUGACGCUCAUGCACGAAAGCGUGGGGAGCAAACAGGAUUAGAUACCCCCGUAGUCCCUGUCUCUUAUAC